rnacentral:rRNA from 1 species
UGGGGGAUAUUGCACAAUGGGCGAAAGCCUGAUGCAGCGACGCCGCGUGGGGGAUGAAGGCUUUCGGGUUGUAAACCUCUUUCGCUAUCGAACAAGGCCCGCUUAGGGUGGGUUGAGGGUAGGUGGAGAAGAAGCGCCGGCUAACUACGUGCCAGCAGCCGCGGUAAUACGUAGGGCGCGAGCGUUGUCCGGAAUUAUUGGGCGUAAAGGGCUUGUAGGCGGCUUGUUGCGCCUGCUGUGAAAACGCGGGGCUUAACUUCGCGCGUGCAGUGGGUACGGGCAGGCUUGAGUGUGGUAGGGGUGACUGGAAUUCCAGGUGUAGCGGUGGAAUGCGCAGAUAUCUGGAGGAACACCGAUGGCGGAGGCAGGUCACUGGGCCAUUACUGACGCUGAGGAGCGAAAGCAUGGGUAGCGAACAGG